rnacentral:lncRNA from 1 species
CUACUAGGAUAGUGGACACAGCGCGCCUGGCUACUGCACUAGUAGAAUGCCGCGGGUGGUGACACUUCAGCGCCGCGGCUACUAGGAUAGUGGAUACAGCGCGCCUGGCUACUGCACUAGUAGAAUGUUGCGGGUGGUGACACGUCAGCGCCGCGGCUACUAGGAUAGUAGACACAGCACGCCUUACUACUGCACUAGUAGAAUGCCGCGGGUGGUGACACCUCAGCUCCACGGCUACUAGGAUAGUGGACACAGCGCGCCUGGCUACUGCACUAGUAGAAUGCUGCGGUUGGUGACCCGUAAGCGCCGCGGCUACUAGGAUAGUGGACACAGCGCGCCUGGCUACUGCACUAGUAGAAUGUUGCGGGUGGUGACACGUCAGCGCCGCGGCUACUAGGAUAGUGGACACAGCGCGCCUGGCUACUGCACUAGUAGAAUGCCGCGGGUGGUGACCCUCAGCGCCGCGGCUACUAGGAUAGUGGACACAGCGCGCCUGGCUACUGCACUAGUAGAAUGCUGCGGGUGGUGACACCUCAGCGCCGCGGCUACUAGGAUAGUGGACACAGCGCGCCUGGCUACUGCACUAGUAGAAUGCCGCGGGUGGUGACACCUCAGCGCCGCGGCUACUAGGAUAGUGGACACAGCGCGCCUGGCUACUGCACUAGUAGAAUGUUGCGGGUGGUGACACGUCAGCGCCGCGGCUACUAGGAUAGUAGACACAGCACGCCUUACUACUGCACUAGUAGAAUGCCGCGGGUGGUGACACCUCAGCUCCACGGCUACUAGGAUAGUGGACACAGCGCGCCUGGCUACUGCACUAGUAGAAUGCUGCGGUUGGUGACCCGUAAGCGCCGCGGCUACUAGGAUAGUGGACACAGCGCGCCUGGCUACUGCACUAGUAGAAUGCCGCGGGUGGUGACACCUCAGCGCCGCGGCUACUAGGAUAGUGGACACAGCGCGCCUGGCUACUGCACUAGUAGAAUGCUGCGGGUGGUGACACUUCAGCGCCGCGGCUACUAGGAUAGUGGACACAGCGCGCCUGGCUACUGCACUAGUAGAAUGCUGCGGGUGGUGACACCUCAGCGCCGCGGCUACUAGGAUAGUGGACACAGCGCGCCUGGCUACUGCACUAGUAGAAUGCCGCGGGUGGUGACACCUCAGCGCCGCGGCUACUAGGAUAGUGGACACAGCGCGCCUGGCUACUGCACUAGUAGAAUGCUGCGGGUGGUGACACCUCAGCGCCACGGCUACUAGGAUAGUGGACACAGCGCGCCUGGCUACUGCACUAGUAGAAUGCCGCGGGUGGUGACACUUCAGCGCCGCGGCUACUAGGAUAGUGGAUACAGCGCGCCUGGCUACUGCACUAGUAGAAUGCCGCGGGUGGUGACACGUCAGCGCCGCGGCUACUAGGAUAGUGGACACAGCGCGCCUGGCUACUUCACUAGUAGAAUGCUGCGGGUGGUGACCCGUAAGCGCCGCGGCUGCAAGGAUAGUGGACACAGCGCGCCUGGCUAUGCACUAGUAGAAUGCUGCAAGUGGUGACACGUCAGAGCGGCGGCUACUAGGAUAGUGGACACAGCGCGCCUUACUACUGCACUAGUAGAAUGCCGCGGGUGGUGACACCUCAGCUCCACGGCUACUAGGAUAGUGGACACAGCGCGCCUGGCUACUGCACUAGUAGAAUGCUGCAGGUGGUGACACCUCAGCGCCACGGCUGCUAGGAUAGUGGACACAGCGCGCCUGGCUACUGCACUAGUAGAAUGCUGCGGGUGGCGACACUUCAGCGCCGCGGCUGCUAGGAUAGUGGACACAGCGCGCCUGGCUACUGCACUAGUAGAAUGCCGCGGGUGGUGACACGUCAGCGCCGCGGCUACUAGCAUAGUGGACACAGCGCGCCUGGCUACUGCACUAGUAGAAUGCUGCGGGUGGUGACCCCUAAGCGCCGCGGCUGCUAGGAUAGUGGACACAUCGCGCCUGGCUACUGCACUAGUAGAAUGCUGCAAGUGGUGACACGUCAGAGCGGCGGCUACUAGGAUAGUGGACACAGCGCGCCUUACUACUGCACUAGUAGAAUGCCGCGGGUGGUGACACCUCAGCUCCACGGCUACUAGGAUAGUGGACACAGCGCGCCUGGCUACUGCACUAGUAGAAUGCCGCGGGUGGUGACUCUUCAGCGCCGCGGCUACUAGGAUAGCGGACACAGCGCGCCUGGCUUCUGCACUAGUAGAAUGCUGCGGGUGGUGACACCUCAGCGCCACGGCUACUAGGAUAGUGGACACAGCGCGCCUGGCUACUGCACUAGUAGAAUGCCGCGGGUGGUGACACGUCAGCGCCGCGGCUACUAGGAUAGUGGAUACAGCGCGCCUGGCUACUGCACUAGUAGAAUGCCGCGGGUGGUGACACGUCAGCGCCGCGGCUACUAGGAUAGUG